GAUGAAGAACGCAGCGAAAUGCGAUAAGUAAUGUGAAUUGCAGAAUUCAGUGAAUCAUCGAAUCUUCGAACGCACAUUGCGCCCGUCAGUAUUCUGGCGGGCAUGCCUGUUCGAGCGUCAUUACGCCCCUCAAGUCCCCUGUGGACUUGGUGUUGGGGAUCGGCGAGGCUGGUUUUCCAGCACAGCCGUCCCUUAAAUUAAUUGGCGGUCUCGCCGUGGCCCUCCUCUGCGCAGUAGUAAAACACUCGCAACAGGAGCCCGGCGCGGUCCACUGCCGUAAAACCCCCCAACUUUUUAUAGUUGACCUCGAAUCAGGUAGGACUACCCGCUGAACUUAAGCAUAUCAAUAAGCGGAGGA
rnacentral:misc_RNA from 1 species